CCUACGGACGACUGCAGUGAGGAAUAUUGGUCAAUGGGCGCGAGCCUGAUCCAGCCAAGUAGCGUGAAGGAUGACUGCCCUACGGGUUGUAAACUUCUUUUAUAAAGGAAUAAAGUGAGGCACGUGUGCCUUUUUGUAUGUACUUUAUGAAUAAGGAUCGGCUAACUCCGUGCCAGCAGCCGCGGUAAUACGGAGGAUCCGAGCGUUAUCCGGAUUUAUUGGGUUUAAAGGGAGCGUAGAUGGGUUGUUAAGUCAGUUGUGAAAGUUUGCGGCUCAACCGUAAAAUUGCAAUUGAUACUGGCAGUCUUGAGUACAGUUGAGGUAAGCGGAAUUCGUGGUGUAGCGGUGAAAUGCUUAGAUAUCACGAAGAACCCCGAUUGCGAAGGCAGCUUACUAAACUGUGACUGACAUUGAUGCUCGAAAGUGUGGGUAGCAAACAGGAUUAGAUACCCUUGUAGUC
rnacentral:rRNA from 1 species